UACGUAGGGUGCAAGCGUUGUCCGGAAUUAUUGGGCGUAAAGAGCUCGUAGGCGGUCUGUCGCGUCGGCUGUGAAAACCCGGAGCUCAACUCCGGGCCUGCAGUCGAUACGGGCUAGCUAGAGUGUGGUAGGGGAGAUCGGAAUUCCUGGUGUAGCGGUGAAAUGCGCAGAUAUCAGGAGGAACACCGGUGGCGAAGGCGGAUCUCUGGGCCAUUACUGACGCUGAGGAGCGAAAGCGUGGGGAGCGAACAGG
rnacentral:rRNA from 1 species